GUCUGUGGCCAUACCACUCUGAACAUGCCCAAUCUCUGCUGAUCGUGGAAACUAAACAGGGUGGAGCUUCAUUAGUACUUGGAUGGGAGACCACCAGGGAAGACUGAGUGCUGUAGGCU
ensembl:rRNA 5S_rRNA 5S ribosomal RNA